ACAGUCAGCCUCCCAGCUGAGCCCACAUGAGUCACUUGCUAAGAUAAGCUGGAGCCAAGUAUUUUUUUUUUAAUUUAUUUUUAAAUUGAACAGGUGAAGAAUGUUCCUUAGCUGUUCUGGAGGGACAGUGACAGCCAAUGACAGCCAAUGACAGCAAUGAUGGCCAAUGACAGCAAAUGACAUCCAACACUGGCCAACAAUGGUCAAUGACAAUCAAUUUCUCAUCUGCCUCCUGGCUCCAAAGCCUGCUGUUCUAGCUUUACAUUGCUUAUUUGGCUCCUCCCUGGAAAUAGUGGGGAGUGGGGGGGAGAUCUGAUAUUUUUUGGAAAGAGUUUGUACAAUGAGCACAGCCCACCAUUUUCCAGUCGAUGUGUAUGUUGGCUGUGCUGCCUUAGUGGUUGUAAAACAGAGAGACAAUAAAAUCAGAAGCAGGAGAUGUUUUCUGCAGCGUGAACCUCGGGACUCCUGGAUCAGUUUCUUUUCCUUCUUGCCAUUAAAUGGCCCUCAGAAUGAAUCCAUGUCAGACUAGUUCACUGUCGUUGGAAAUUUUAUCUAGGUCCCCGUGGUGGUUGGAAUUGGAAAGGACCCCGUAGACUGAAGACUGACACCAUAGGAGGUGUGGCCUUAUUGGAAUAGGCGUGGCCUUACUGGAGGGAGUAUAUCACUAGGGGAUGGGCUUUGGGGAAGCUCAAUAAUUCAUCUCUUCCUGCUGCCUAUGGAUCAAGAUAUAGAGUUCUCAGCUCCUUCUCCAGCACCAUGUCUGCCUGCAGCCACCAUCCUUCCCACCAUGACAAUAAUGGGCUAAGCCUCUGAAACUGCUCCAAGUGAUACCUCCUGAGUGAUCAACACAAGGCAGAAGGAUGGCUACAGCAGACAUGUUUCCUGUUUCCCUACUUGACCUCUUCACACAGCUGAGAAAGGCUGGCUUGGGGACCCCUGAGCUCCUUGGAAAUCCACAGUCAUUGUCCCCUAGAGGACCUUUAACUUUGACAACCAGACAACCAGAGGCACAGUGAGGCACCUUUGCAGGAGGAUCCAGUGCCUACUGGCAGCAUGAUCAAAGGCUAAAAGCCAACCCUCCUUCUGCAGAUGGACAGGGAGGAGAAUUGUCAUCUCUGGUCACAGCUCUGCCCCUGUAAGAACAGCAGGACACACUGGCUUCAGAAGGUUCAUGAUAGCCAAAGCAUAGAUUUUCAAAGGCUGGAGUCAUCCAGACAUAUUUCUGAGGCACAGUACUCUAAUUCUGCUGUUUAACGAGGGGUAUAUUCAUCUGAGUGCCGGUAUAUGCGGACAUGUGUUUGCAGGUGCAUAUAGAAGCCAGAGGACAACUUCCAAUGUUCCCCGGGCACUGCCUCCCUGGCUUCAUGAGACAGAGUCUCUCUUACUAGUCUAAGCCUUGUUGGCUGGCUGGCAAAUGAGUCCAAGGGUCUGCCUGUCUAAGUCCCCUCAGCCCUGGGAUUCUAAGCACACGCCACCAUGCCUCCUUGGUUUGUUUAAGCCAUGGAUCCCAGGGUAUCAAACUCAGCUGCUUCUGCUUUCAAAGCCAGUACUUUAAUUAUAGAGUCAUCUCGUCAUCCCCUGAGAUUGCUCCCUAUAUUAAGUGUAAGCAAGUCAGAGCUGUGUGCAUCGCGUACAGGUAGAAGGAGAAAAAGGACUGUGGUGCCACAUCCACAGAGAACUGCCUUAUCUCUCUCGGCCCCCAUCGUUCAUCACAACGGAAUCCUCUCUCCUUGCAUCUCUGGACCAAAUCUUCAGAUUCAGAUAUGGGGUGGGAAACAAGACUGGUAAGGGAGUCAUGAUAAUAAACGUAGUUUGCACUCUUAGGAUGUUCCAGACGCUCUUCCCUGCGGGUGACAGACGGUAGCCCAUGUAAGACCCCCAAGGCACUCACAAGGCACCUAUACUCUUGUCACAACACCCUCCUUUGAUGAGUGAUGGGACUUAGGGUAGUUGAGGAUUCUGUCCAACUGCAAAUAGCUAGAAAAUGGCAGCAAAGCCUACACAAGGGCUCAGCAAACGGACCAGGGAGACUUGUGUUUUCAGACACAGAAUCAUAGUGAAGCUUGCUGGGGGCGGGGUCAAGUGGUGGUGGUGGUGGUGGAGUCACGGGAUGGUGGUGGAGCCAUUGCAAUGUGUCCAUGCUGGGAACACAUUCCUGCCUCUUAGAGAUCCCCAGUAGUAGAUGCUGCCAUAUCUCACCACCCUUUCCAACUUACACUCUAAAGCACUAGGGCUGGGACAAGAUGGGGAACGUCUACUUAACUUUCUUUUAUUUUAAAAGAAAAAGAAAACAAAUGAGGGGAAAUGUCCGAAGAUUAAUGACUAGUGUCCACAUAGAAGAACCACCGAGACCUUGGAAGGCACAUGGCUGACACCGUGUCCCGGGAACACAGACCAGGAACCCUGAGCUUUCUGAGAGUGACGGUGCCCGAUUUCAGCUCCCAGACAAACAGGAAGACACUUUAAAUUCCCAAGGAUUUCAGCUCCCAGACAAACAGGAAGACACUUUAAAUUCCCAAGGAAAUCCUGAGUGCCCCGUGGAAGUAUCACACUCGUUCCUUCGUGUGGCCUUCUGUUAUGGUGUGACCAUGAAGACCAUCCACAGGCCUGUGGUCAAGCUUGAUUGCCAGCUGAUGGACUUGGGCAUGUGAUUGGGUCCUAGGAUCUCUGACCCAAUCAACGAGCUGAGGCCUUAACAGGUUCACAGUGUGAUGUAUGUAAGGGAUUGGGGAGCAGGAGGCAGGGCCCCUUGGAGAAAGUGAGUCCGUGAACGGUGUGUUCUUGGGGACUAGAUCCCACCCUGGCCUUUUCCACACCCUACUUCCUUGCUUCCUGCCACCUUAUCCUGCAACCAUGACAACCAUGAUGCUGAGCUUCAGCCCGGGACCAGAACUGACAGAGUUGGCUG